rnacentral:rRNA from 1 species
GACGAACGCUGGCGGCGUGCUUAACACAUGCAGGUCGAACGGAAAGGCCUGCUUUCCCUUGUGGAUUGCGGGUACUCGAGUGGCGAACGGGUGAGUAACACGUGAGUGAUCUGCCCCCAACUUGGGUAUAAGCCUGGGAAACUGGGUCUAAUUCCCGAUAGGACUGCAGGGUGGUGCCUGUGGUGGAAAACGAUUUUCUAGUGGUUGGGGAUGAGCUCGCGGCCUAUCAGCUUGUUGGUGGGGUAAUGGCCUACCAAGGCGGCGACGGGUAGCCGGCCUGAGAGGGUGGACGGCCACAUUGGGACUGAGAUACGGCCCCGACUCCUACGGGAGGCAGCAGUGGGGACUAUUGCACCAUGGGCGGAAGCCUGAUGCAGCGACGCCGCGUGGGGGAUGACGGCCUUCGGGUUGUAAACUCCUUUCGACCGCGAGGAAGCCACCUGGUUGGAAGGGUGGUGACGGUAGUGGUAGAAGAAGCACCGGCUAACUACGUG